GGAGUUAUAGUGAAAUGGUUAUCACGUCAGCCUGUCACGCUGAAGGUCCGGGUUCAAUUCCCGGUAACUCCG
rnacentral:tRNA from 1 species